GUGGGGAAUAUUGGACAAUGGGCGAAAGCCUGAUCCAGCCAUGCCGCGUGUGUGAAGAAGGCCUUCGGGUUGUAAAGCACUUUAAGCGAGGAGGAAGGUUCGUCACCUAAUACGUGACGGAAUUGACGUUACUCGCAGAAUAAGCACCGGCUAACUCUGUGCCAGCAGCCGCGGUAAUACAGAGGGUGCAAGCGUUAAUCGGAAUUACUGGGCGUAAAGCGCGCGUAGGCGGUUGUGUAAGUUGGAUGUGAAAUCCCCGGGCUUAACCUGGGCACUGCAUUCAAAACUGCACGGCUAGAGUAUUGGAGAGGAAGGUAGAAUUCCAGGUGUAGCGGUGAAAUGCGUAGAGAUCUGGAGGAAUACCGAUGGCGAAGGCAGCCUUCUGGCCAAAUACUGACGCUGAGGUGCGAAAGCAUGGGGAGCAAACAGGAUUAGAUACCCGUGUAGUCC
rnacentral:rRNA from 1 species